rnacentral:lncRNA from 1 species
GAGAGGAUGAAGCAAAACUUGGGGAUUUUCGAUUGGUCACUGAGUGAGGAAGACUACAAGAAGAUAUCUGAAAUCCAUCAAGAUAGGCUCAUCAAGGGACCAACCAAGCCUCUUCUUGAUGAUCUAUGGGAAUGAACAAUCACCUAUAAUUUCAUACUUCCACUCUUUGCAUGUUACUGAGAAAAUAAACCAAUUAUCAUCAUUCUGUUCUUGAUGAUGAUAAUUAAUCAAUCUCUUGUUUCCAUAAGAUGUGUUAAUCCCAAUUCCAAUUUAGUUUUGCUGAAUCUUGUUACUUUUCUUCUUGCAUAGUAUCCGUCCCAUAAUAAUUAUCAGUAAGGUUUUUUUAAUGCAGUUUAACAAUAAUAAUAAGUUUCUUGUAAAAAUUAAUAUGUUAGGGAUAAAAAGCACGUGUUUGUAAACAAAAUUCAACAACAAAGAGGUUAAAAAAAAAAUUAGAAUGUUACUUUGAUAAAAACUACUAAUUUAAAAUUAUAAAUAGUUGGAGAUAUUGUUGAGACAUUAGAGUAUUUCAUUUUAUAUAAAUAGUUAAACAUAGAUCAAUUCGAGUACAACUCAACUCUAUAAAAUCAAUUCAUGAAGUUGAAGUUUGCACCCACUUAUAUACCAUAAAAUACUUUAAUAUUUAGUCGAUGUGGCAUCUCCAACCAUCUAUUUUAAUAAAAUAUCAUUUUCACUUCAAAAUUUAAUAUAGUGCGUUGUAAACAUAUCAACACAUAAAAAAACAUAUUUAAUAAUUAUAAUAAAUUAUUACUAGUAAAAUAUGUGAAAGGAUAAUUUAAUAUUUUGAUUAGAUGAUAACCUAUCCUAAAAAAUAAAUACGUGAGAAAAUAUCAUAUUCUGAAAAGAUAUAUUGUAUUGAAAAUACUAUAUCAAUUAAAAAUAACAUCAUUUUCACAUUUACAACUCAAGACAUGAUGUACAAACUUAAUAAAAAGUUGUUACUUUAAUUGGUAUACAAAAUCUUGCUUAUUAAGUAUACAAAAAUAGCUCAUAUACAUGUUUCUUCAUGUUAAUAUCAUAAUCAUUACAGAACAUAAUAUUUUAAUCAUAUUUAAUUUACUUUUUAAUUUUAAAUAUUAUAUUAUUGUUAUAAUAUGAUGUGAAGUGUAUGUGAAAUAAAUAUUUUACUUAAAUAUAAAAAAUAUAAAAAUAAUAAUUUUAAAAAUUGUAUAUAUUUGAUACACAUAAUACUACGAGGUGAUUCCUAAACCUAUGAAGAACAGAUACAUCAAUCCUUACAUCUGCAAAUUGACUUUGUCUUUGUCUCUAUUCAUCACUUUGUAUAUUUAUAUAUUCCUUAUUUAUAUAAAAAAAAAUAUUCUGAUGCUGAUAAAAGAAAACAAUAAACUACUACUGAAGUCCAACUUUGGUGUGGUGUUAGUAUCAGAAUAUGGUGGUUGUGCAGAUUCUCAGAAGCAAGUCCACAUGAAAAAUAUAUUUAAAUUUCAUAUCCAUCUACCACCACCUUUCUUCAAUUAUUGUUUUUUCUUUAAUGUUUGCCCUUUAGCUUAAGUUAUUUGCCUGGUUUUUUUAUACCAACUUUAUCUCAUACAAUAUAGUUUUUCUGCAUUGUUACCUACUUUUAAAUCUGUUUGAGAAUAGCUUGUUAUUAUUUUUCCUUCAUGUCUUUGUUGAAUAUUUUGGAACUAUGUGUUUGGAAGGAUGUUUGGAGAAGGUUUUUAAUUCAAUUAAUUUUGAGUAAGUGAUUGUGAUAUAUGUUAGAUCUUUCAUUCUAAAAGUAAGUUAAACAAUAUGUAAAUUACUUAAAAUUAUAUUAGCUAAAUGCACAAUUUCUAAUUUAUUAGCCUAAACCAUAUCUAAAUUUGAUUAUCUGUGUCACUCUUGUUAAUAAUUUCAUUAAUAUCUUUAAGAGCGCUACAAAAUAACUAUUAUGAACUAAAUUAUGAUUAGUUAACUAAAUAAAAUUGUUUUCGAACAGGGUUGUUGGAGAACAUUUGAAACUGUUAUUUCACUUUCUUUGUCAGUUGGUCGGUUUGCAUUUACGUUCUUCUCCAAAUAAGUUCCUUCCUCUUCUCUGCUGACUUCACUCAUCGGUCUUCACGUGGUUCAUAUUCGAAUGGUACCCUCAAAAGACACUCUGAUGCUUAAGUCAGAUUUAGUAUUCAGCACUCGAUAUCCUAAGUGUUGUAUAAUGACGUACCUGAUUCUUAGAAUCUGUACUAUUUAUAUUAUUUUGGUGGACCUUCUUAUUAGGUCGGAUUAGAGAAUUAGGUUAAGUUUAAGAAUACAUAAACUAGCUAUUAAUUGUUUAUCAACCUCACUAAUUCUGAUUAAACAUAAUUAGUUAUGUGAUGUCAAUCAGCAUAAUAACCAAAUUUCAAACUGUAGUGUCGAUCUAUAUAAUGAUCGGGUAAACCGUAAUGUUGAUCGACGUAAUGACCAAUUGGUGUACGUUCUCGUACAAAAUUAAUUUGGACUAGAUUUUAGGUUUAGUUUUAUAAAGCUGAAUUGUUAAACUAACAAUAUUCAAAAAAAAUUUGGUAAACCAUACAUAAACUCUUGAACCUUCAAUUAUAUUUUUAAAAUUUUUAUUUAGUAUGUUGACACCUAUACCAGGUUGUGAUUGAAGAGAAAAAUAUAUUUUUAUUAAAAUAGAAUACUUUUAAAUUUAUACUGUAAUGCAUAGUAAUUGUAAACGAAUUGUUUUUACACGUUUAAUUAUAAAAGUAAUAUUUUUUUAUUGUAUAUUCAAGGGGUCAAAUAGCUACAGUGAGUGAUAUUAACUACUCCUUAAAAACUGGGCCAAAUAGUAAUGUUGUUGGCCCAUUUAUUGACUCUUCUUGUUUUGUAUAGGAUUCAACUUUAUUUUCAUAAAAAAAUUCUUCACAUGGAAAAGACUUUCUGCACGUGGAAAAUAUAUUUUACCAAAUAAAUGGGAAGUUAAAUAUACUUUUAUUUACCAAAUUCGAGUUAAUAUUUUAACAAAAUAUUAGAUAAAAAAUAAUUUUAAAAAUCAAAAUAUUUAUUUAUUGUAACUAUUUUAUGUGUUUUUUUUUAAUGUUUUGUAAUAGGUGAAACAAAUGUCUUAAUAACUACGGUGAAAAAUCAAGUUUAGGGUUUCUUACGUUUUUUUUGGAAAGAGAAUGUAUGUGUGAAUAAAUUUACUAACUUAUACUUUAUUCAUAAGAAGUAUUUUCAUUAGCAUAAUAAAUUUUCAUCUAGUCUUUUCUUAAGAUUUUUUUAUUGAUAAGUAUAAAUUACCUAUGUACAGUUUUUGUUAAUAUAUGGAUUUUGGUAUAGUUUCUCCGUAUUUUCUUGUAUUUCCUUUUUUUUUAAUAAUAUUUUUCAUGUGGUGACAAAUGUUGUUGUUACUUGAAGUGUCAGUCUGAGAUGUAAAGUUUCAUACAUUUUAGAAAUUAUAUGUAUCUCCGUAUUCGUGUCCGUGUUUGUAUCGUAUUAAUGUUCGUAAGUAUCUUUAUUUGGAUGUGAAAGUUAUUUUUAAAAACACGAAGAGACAUAUUUAAUUAAAAAAUGCUUUUUAAUAUUAUAGCUAGCCAGAUGUAAAAUUUCUGAUUUUAGAAGAAUAAUUUAUUUCUCAUAACUUUUUUUCCAAAAGUAUUUUAUUUUUAACUUAAACAACUCAGUCUAUAACUUCCAUUCUCUUUUUUUCUUUUUCUUUUUUAAAAGCAGAAUCCGAACAAUAUAUGAAAAGUUAACCAAAAGUAUUUUUAAACAUGGCUAUAAAUUUUUUUUAUCAUAAUAUUUCAGUAAACCCAAUAUGAUUAUUUUUAACAUUUUCAACACUUAACUGCAAAUUCAUAAACUAGAAAGUUUUUAUUCAAUCAAAUGCUGAAUCAAUUGUUUAAUGAAUAUGAAAGUUUAGAAACAUGUAUAGCUUUAAUAAACAAAAGGUUUGAUAACAAACUCAUGAACUCAUUAUGCAUGAAACUUCAUCUUCACUUCACGCAAUACUUGCACAGUUUGCAAUUUUUCGACUUUUAUGAAACAGGAAAAUUGCCAUAACAUCACAGUACAAAAAACAAUGAUACUUUAUAAAGUUAAGUUAAUUAACUUUCACCAUAACCAUCUCAAAAACAACACUUUCUACUUUCUGAUUCAUUGAAAAGUUUUACAAGUAAAGUUAGGUUAUAGCAUUGAACUAGAGUUUUCAAUUUACAUAAAACAAGCAUGAUGAUGAGCUGAUACCCUUAUGUAGAUAUCAUAUUUUUUUUAUCGAUAAAAAACGAAUAAAUUAAAUUGAAGUAUUUCAGAGAUAUCUCAACCCUAAUACAAAACGAUCCAUAAUCAAUCAUCAAAAAACCUUACAUAGACCGGAACACAAAAAAAAGUGAGUAUAGUGGCUGACAAACGUAAACAACCCCAUAAUUCAACAUAAAUCCCUACCCUUUUCUAACAGAUAUCAUACAUACUAAAGAUUUAAGACACACUUACCCAACAAUCUCAUAAUUCAACAUAAAUUCCUACCCUAAGAGAUAUCAUUCAUACCAAAGAUUUAAGACACACUUACCCUUUGAAAUUCUCCAUGACCAUACCUUCACUUAACUGCAUAAUGAUCGUACAAAUGAGAAAGAAGCAGGUUUGGAUGGUGGGAAAGUAAGCAUAUACACAUAUAGAAGUAGGAAGAUGAAACGAAACCAGAGAGACUUGGUUGCAGAAAAUGGUUGGAAAAUUGUGGCAUCAAUUGAUGAUCUGAGUUUGUCUGUUUGAGGGAAAUGUCUGUGGGGGUGUCCCACAAAUCACGUGCUGGAGGAGGCUCUAUUGGCACAUGAACAAGACAAAGGAGUGGUCAUUUACAAUCUCCUCUAAUCCUCUCUCAGCCAAUGGUCAUCUAUCCCUCACGUGGGACUCUUGACCCUACAUCACUACCCUCUCACAAUAUGCUAUUUUUUAUUGCUUCCCUCUGCAUUAAAUCUUCUUCACACCACAUUUGCACCUUCUACCUCUAACUCAUCCUCUUCUCACACUGCUUUCACUUCCACACUUUCAUACACACUGCACAUAACUUUUCUCAACUUCACUACCUAGUGCUAGGAUCGAUCAUGGGAGAGUCUUCUAAUUCCUCUGCUUCUUACAUUCACAUGGUAAAGAGACAAUAGCCACCACUUCAUAUCAGCUCCCUUUGAUUUUCAUUUUUUGUGUUUAUACCUACAUGAUCGUGGUGGCAUGUUUGUACGAAAUUAGGUGCACCACCUGAUUGAGAAGUGUUUGAUCUUUCACAUGUCAAAGGAAGAAUGCAUGGAGGCUCUCUCCAAGCAUGCAAAUAUCAAGCCUGUCAUAACAUCCACUGGUAUGUUCUCUUCUUUUCAUUUUCUUCAUAGAUUUUACACCUUUUCAACUCCUGCAAGAUUCAAGAGAUUUGUGAUCAAAUCAUUUCAAAAUGUAAAUUUACCUUCUAUACAUACCUAAUUAUUAUGUGUAUGAACCCUUACUUGUCAUACAUGCACUCGCAAGUUAGUACAAAACCUAGUACAAACCUCAUCCUAGAAGUUAAGUUUAUGAAGUUGAAUUAGGCUUUUCUUAAUAGCUACCUAAUUUAAUUUUGAUUGAUUAACUAUUUAAAACCUUUAAUUUUGCUUUGAGAAUUUACAAAGCCUACACUUAUGACUAAAAGACUGAUACUCUUAGAUCAAAUAAUUCAUUCUUUGACCAUUUCACCAAACCUGCUUCAAACUUAUGUGUCUAUAUUAUGUUUCAACUUUAAAAAGCUUUUUAGGUUAGUUAAUACUAUGUUUUAAUUUUACAAUUCUCUGCUAUAUAUAGAUUAGAAGAAAGUUGAAUCAAGGACUAUAUAUAGUGAGAUUUAUUUUGCUCAAUGAAAUAUUACAUCACAAAAUUGAGAACAAUCAUACCAGUUAAAAGAACAGAGA